CUUGGUCAUUUAGAGGAAGUAAAAGUCGUAACAAGGUUUCCGUAGGUGAACCUGCGGAAGGAUCAUUAUUGAAAUAAACCUGAUGGGUUGUUGCUGGUUCUCUAGGGAGCAUGUGCACGCCUUGUCAUCUUUAUAUCUCCACCUGUGCACCUUUUGUAGACCUUUCAGGUCUAUGUUGCUUCAUUUACCCCAUGUAUGUUAAUAGAAUGUUGUGCCUAUAUAAUAUAUACAACUUUCAGCAACGGAUCUCUUGGCUCUCGCAUCGAUGAAGAACGCAGCGAAAUGCGAUAAGUAAUGUGAAUUGCAGAAUUCAGUGAAUCAUCGAAUCUUUGAACGCAUCUUGCGCUCCUUGGUAUUCCGAGGAGCAUGCCUGUUCGAGUGUCAUCAAAAGUUCUCAACCACACCGGUUCUUCUGGCGUGGCUUGGAUUUGGGGGUUUGCAGGCUUUGAACAGAAGUCGGCUCCCCUGAAAAGGAUUAGCAGUAUCUGAGCGGGAGACUACGUCGGGCGUGAUAAAUCAUCUAUGCCUCGGUGUACCCGAUGUGUGAGACUGCUUCUAACUGAGUGUUGACAAGUUUGACCUCGAAUCAGGUAGGACUACCCGCUGAACUUAAGCAUAUCAAUAAGCGGAGGA
rnacentral:rRNA from 1 species